AUGGAGUCACUUGAACUCAAAGACAAUGGUGAAAACCAACCAUCUUUAGAAGCUUCUAUUGCUUCAGAUGUGAUAUAUGACAAAGCACCUGUAUGUCCACGCAUUGGAAGUGAAUACCAGGCAGAAAUCCCCAAUCUGUCCACAGAGGUUGAGCGCCAUCGGCUCAUGACCAGCACACCAGAAAGCAUCGUACUUGGUUAUGAUUACCCUGGUAUGAUUGGGUUAGCUAUACCAAUCAUGUGGGUACCAAGUGAAGUCCAUAAGGAGGACGAUUCACGAAGGCAGCAUUCUUCAGAAUCCGAAGCAAGAGCUAGCGACCAAGGCGAGGAUAGUCAGGUGACCUCAAUUUAUCCAAUCAGAAAUAAUACAAAUGCCCAUGAUUCAACAUACCAGGAUCAACAUUCAAUGCUGUCUGUUAAUCAGAUAGAAUCUUGCAUCAAUCAAGCACAUGAUGAGAACUUGGCUCCAUUCUCUACUCAAGAAGGUCCGGGUUUUACCAAUAAGUUGUUGACCCAACAAGGGGAAAUCGAGCAAUUUACUCCACUGCCCGGUUUGCCCAGUUCGCUUUGGAGUGCUACUGAGGCAGAAUGUUUUCUUCUCGGGCUCUACAUUUUCGGCAAAAAUCUAAGCCUCUUGAGCAGGUUUCUUGGUAAUAAGACCGUUGGGGAUGUACUCUCAUACUACUAUGGAAUAUUCUACAAAAGAAAUGCUUAUAAAAGAUGGUCGGACUGCAGAAAAGCAAGAACUACGAGAUGCAUUAUUGGGGAACGCAUCUUUACAGGUUGGCGGCAGCAGGAGAUUAUAUCUCGUUUGAAAUCUGUAAUCCUCGAAGGAGUUCAUGAUUCAUUGGUCGAGGAAUUGUAUUGCUUUCGCCUGUUGCAGAUUUUCAAAUCUUUCAACGCCGGACAAGCAUCUUUAGAGGAUCUUGUCUUUGCUAUAAAAUCCUCUGUUGGAACAGAAGCUUUUGUGGAGGCUGUUGGAAUUGGUAAAGGGAAGCAUGAUUUGACUGGAUAUGUUCUGGACCGAUCUAAACCAAACCAAGCUCCUUCUGUUUACCCUGACAUGCCUACAGGCAAAGAUUGUUCCUUGCUUGCUUCGGAAGAUAUAAUUAAGUUCUUAACAGGUGGUUUCAGAAUAAGCAAGACAAGAUCUAAUGAACUUUUCUGGGAAGCUGUCUGGCCCCGUUUGCUUGCAAGAGGGUGGCGUUCAGAGCAGUCAAAAGAUGUCAGAACAACUAAGAAUUGCCUUGUGUUUCUUGUGCCAGGUAUCAAAAAAAUCUCGAGAAGGAAACUCACUAAAGGCACUCAUUAUUUUGAUUCUGUCAGCGAUGUUCUUAAGCGAGUUGCGGCGGAUCCCGUUCUUCUUGAGGUAGAAGUUGGCGGAGCGGACAAUGGUGUUACUGCUGAGCAGUGUGGAUAUGCUACAGACAUGAGUCUGAACCAUGAUGGUCCUUUGGAUGGAUAUCAGGAGCUUCCAAAGUUCACAAUUAUCGAUACUACCUUGGUCCAAGGGGAAGAGCCCUUCAGAGUCAGAGAGCUGAGGAAAUUACCACCUGAUGUAAAUGUCCAUUUUGGUCCUUCACGUCAUUCUUAUAAUACUGUGAGUGUCAGUUCCUCAGAGGAGCAAGAUGCGGAAGAUCAAUCAUCAGAUGACCAGGCAGAUUGUCGACAAGUUACAGCUGAUGUGAAUGAUGCCGAAAUAGUUUCAGUAUGCCAUGCAGGCAAAGAAAACCAAGUCAAUUCAUUGCAAAACAUGUUGGCUGCACCAUCGUCGAGUUUUCCAGUCAAUGGCCAUUCUUCUAAUGGCAGUACUGAAAAAACUGAUAUGACAUGCCUCUUUGGUCCCAAAACAAAAACUGAAAGACUCGAGUAUUUAACCCCAGUGUCAAAGCACAGAAGCUUACCCAGCUGUAGCAAUGAUCGGACCAGUCAGCACAGCUUUUCUUUCUCGAAAGGACAUGGUUUAGAGAGAAAGAAAAUCAAGCCGCUGUGGACUUCAACAAAACCAACUGCAGCUGAUGUCAGUGACAAUUUUCGGACUAAAAUAAUUGCGAGAUAUUCCACGAAGGAGAAGCCAUGCGAGCAGAUAACGGUUGCAUCAAACUCUUGUACCACUGACAGAUCAAACGAGAAGGUGAAUGUGUCCAGUUUAAAUGAGGACAAGUCAUCUGAGUGCAAGGUCGAGGUGGUGCCUAAAGUUUGUUCAAAGAUCAGAACCGCUGAGGCGAAAGUUGCCAAAGAAGGGGCGCAGGUUACUAGUUUGGUUAAACCGGAGACAUCACUAGAUCAUAAGAUAAGCACGAGGGUAUGUGUCGCUUCAUCAGACGAUCAUGGUUACAUGAAGGCUGAGGAAGGCCUUGCCGUUUCAAACAGCGAUUGUGUCCAUGAUGUUUCAGAGGCAACAGGACAACCUGCUAGCCUGCAACCUGACCUGGCUUCACAGGUGAAGUCUCGGAGGCAUGGAACCAGGAACAGACCUCCGACUGCAAAAGCUUUGGAAGCACUUGCCUUGGGGUUCCUUGGAGGAAAGCGUAAAGGUGAACCCAAAAACCCUGGGACAAGCAGGCCCCCCCAGAGAGCUCGCAAAUCCUUGGUUUGUACGCCUACAAGCAGUGACACAGACAAGUCCAGCAUGGAGGUUGAUUUGCAACAGUGA
rnacentral:rRNA from 1 species